AGGUGUGGCAAAUUGUGUGUUGGCUCUUGGGUUUGAGAAGAUGGAGAAGGGAUCCCUUGGAACAAAAUAUUCAGAUCGGACUCAUCCAAUUGACAAACAUCUUGAUAUCUUGAUCAAUAAGCAUGGAUUAUCUGCCCAUCCAGUUGCUGCUCAGCUGUUUGGGUCUGCUGGGAAAGAACAUAUGGAAAAAUAUGG